UCUUAGGAUUGUAAACUUCUGUUAAGUGGGAAAAAAGACUCGUUACGAAUAAUAACGAGGGAUGAUGGUACCACUAGAGAAAGCACCGGCUAACUUCGUGC
rnacentral:rRNA from 1 species